GAUACCGUCGGCUCUCGACCCUCAAAAGUCAGAUCUCUCACUCUCUACCCUAGUGUAAUGCCUAACCCAAAAACUAAAACCCCAAUCCCCAAAUCUCUGCCCUAGUGCUUAAUUCGUUUGUAUGUUUUGUUUGUUGGUUUGUGAAAUCUUUAUUUUUAAAUGGAUUACUUGCUUUUUUGUAUAUUAUGUAAUAGGCUUUUCUUUUUGUUUUCCCAGUUAAAAAGACCCAUUUGUUUUUUGUUUUUCUUUUUUCAAUUUUGAGAAUUAGAUCUCUCCUCUUGUUUCUCAAACUUCAAUUUACUCAUUUGGCCAUCAAUUCGAUUCUGGUUUUGCUUGGAAAAAUACAAUUCCUUUUUGUACGAAUUUAAUCAGAGCAUAGUGUUUGAUUUUUGGAGCCACAUCAAAGGGUUGCUUUUUUUUUUCAUCUUCUUUUUUUGUAGGUAACCGGAAUUGGUUUACUGGAUGCAGAAUGACAUGAAUGCUUUAAUUUUUGUUCCUACAUUGUAUCUCAACCCAAUUUUUUUUUUAAAUUAUUUCUCACCUGUUUGUUUAUUAGUAUUUUAAAGCAUCUAAAGAAAAGAUAUGGUUUACCUUUGAGAAUCUCAAAUUUUAGUAAAGCUUUGAUUUUUCCAAUAUUUUCUCAUAGAUGCAUAUUUUGCAUUUCUUGAUCUAAUAAAUUUUUUGUUUGUUUUCGAUCCAGAAUUGGUUGUGGCUUAUGGGUUCUGGCCUUCUGCUCAUUUGUUGAAUGUUGUGCUGUCUAGUGCUUUCUGCUUCAGUGCUUCUACAGACUAUUCUAAAUUGUAAUGCUGUUAAUUGUUAAAUACUUAAAUGUUAAUUAUGGAAAUUGGAAGCCAUUUCAGUUAUUAUCCAAAUUACC
rnacentral:lncRNA from 1 species